rnacentral:rRNA from 1 species
GAGCUUGCUCCUUUGACGUUAGCGGCGGACGGGUGAGUAACACGUGGGCAACCUACCCUAUAGUUUGGGAUAACUCCGGGAAACCGGGGCUAAUACCGAAUAAUCUUUUGUCCCUCAUGGGACAAUACUGAAAGACGGUUUCGGCUGUCGCUAUAAGAUGGGCCCGCCGCGCAUUAUCUAGUUGGUGAGGUAACGGCUCACCAAGGCCACGAUGCGUAGCCCACCUGAGAGGGUGAUCGGCCACACUGGGACUGAAACACGGCCCACACUCCUACGGGAGGCAGCAGUAGGGAAUCUUCCACAAUGGGCGAAAGCCUGGUGGAACCACCCCGCGUGAGUGAAGAAGGAUUUCAGUUCGUAAAACUCUGUUGUAAGGGAAGAACAAGUACAAUAGUAACUGGGUGUACCUUGACGGUACCUUAUUAGAAAGCCACGGCUAACUACGUGCCAACAGCCGCGGUAAUACGUAUGUGGCAAGCGUUGUCCGGAAUUAUUGGGCGUAAAGCGCGCGCAGGUGGUUUCUUAAGUCUGAUGUGAAAGCCCACGGCUCAACCGGGGAGGGUCAUUGGAAACUGGGAGACUUGAGUGCAAAAGAAGAUAGUGGAAUUCCAAGUGUAGCGGUGAAAUGCGUAGAGAUUUAGAAGAACACCAGUGGCGAAGGCGACUAUCUGGUCUGUAACUGACACUGAAGCGCAAAAGCGUGGGGAGCAAACAAGAUUAGAUACCCUGGUAGUCCACGCCGUAAACGAUGAGUGCUAAGUGUUAGGGGGUUUCCGCCCCUUAGUGCUGCAUCUAACGCAUUACACACUCCGCCUGGAGAGUACGGUCGCAAGACUGAAACUCAAAGGAAUUGACGGG